GAGAUGAAUACUAAGACUCAUCAUUAUGUGCUUCCUGAUAUGGACACAACGUGACCAGCUCUUCAAACCCCGCUGCCACAACUCUUCCACCAUAAUGGACUGUUACCAGGAUCUAUGAGCCAAAGUGCAGGGAUAUUUUACUGAAAGGAUCUAAACAAACCAAUAAAAGGGUUGGAAGUCCCUAAGACUCGAGGAACGCCAUAACAGCUGUAUGUAAAUUUGUGAUGCUUGCCUAAGCACUGCACAGGCUGCUGACGAUCUACUGGGAAGACCACUGCUGAUAACCCAAGAGACUCGUGGAGCAUGAGGAUCACAUGGGAGCAUUAAGAAAAGAUUAAGUUCCUUAGACUGGCUGAGCAGAUAUGCAGAGGAAAACCCAGGACACCCAGAUGAGCAGACGAUGUGACAGCUAGUUUGAUGUUGCUGAAGGCAAAAGUGCAGAAAGAAGGCUGGAUGGAGGUAUCAUGUGGUGACUUCUCCACCAAACUCCAGUUCCAUGCACAUGGGUGGAGAAGGCAGCAAGGCGCGACUGGAGAAAGGUGGACUGAAAACUCUCCCCCAGGAAUAAUUUCCAGCCCUAUAUGAGAUAAGAAACCUCAUAUUUACUAGUUUUCCCUUUCUUCUGUUUCCUGGUCUUGGUUACAGUGUCAUUUAUGGAGAAAGAGGCUCAUCUGAAGAGAGCAGAGAAUGAGGAGACAGCCUCUUCUUCUAUGACUGGCCUGACAGGUUGAGCACAUGCGGCAGAGAAACAGAAUUGAAUGAGUCCACACUAGAGCAGGGGACAGGAGAGCAGAGGCUGUAAAGUGGAAAGAGUGGCUAGGGUGAGACUGCCUCACUCGGGAAGACAGGGAAGAUCGACCCUCAUAGACUCAGGGGCUGAGAGCUGAGAGUAAGGAAUGUCCUAACGUUUACUGCUCUGAGAAUAAGAGGUUUAUACACAUGCCGCCAGACUUUGACCUGCAACUACUCCAGCCACAGGGAUUCAGUAGCCCUGAAAGUACUUUACAAGGAGAAAAGGAAAGAAUCCUUCUCUGGGGAAACUGUUUCCAAGUGAAUGUUUUAUAUGUAUAAUUAUCCUUGGUGUGUAUGGGAGACUGAUUCCCUAAGCCACUGCAGAGAGCAAGAUCUUAGAUGUGGCAGCCUCUCAUCUGAAAUACUGUAGUACUGGCAUCUAGAUCCAUACAUCCUUCUACCCAUUUAAAAACUAUCUCCAGAUUAUUUGUAACACCUAGACAAGCUAAAUGGUAUCUAUAUAAUACUAUGAGGUUUUUCUUAGGGAAUAAGAUAAACCUGUAUGUUUAUAACACACAUGUUUGUUUUUUUUCUCCCAAUUUCUUCCAUCCUCUAUUGCCUGAGUCCCUGGGUAUAGACCCCAUAGAAGCAGAGGCCAGAGCAUUUUGACACCUGUUAUGAAGAAAAGCAGCUUAGCUAACAGCAGAGACCACCAGCCAACAACCUCUAUCCCUGCAAACAGUUUCUGCCACCUUUUAGUUUCCCAUCAUUAACUAUGAAUCAAGCAUCACCAAAUGUUUAAGAUUGGAAUUGGAGAUGCAGCAGAAAACUCAGAUGCAAUUGAAAACCCUCUUGAGAGACGAGUAGAAAAGGAAACAAGGAAACAGAAGAUACAACAAUGACAGGAAAAUCUGAGGCUAACUCUAGGAAGUCUGAGAUUCAGGAGGAGAAAAGAGCGAAAAUGGGUGAAGUGAAAAUAAAGGGCAAGCUCCCAGGUUGCACGAGCCAUCAGCAUCCCAGCAUGAUGACGUCAAGAAGGGGCAACUGAGUCACUUUAAAACAAUUAGACUCCGUAUCACUGGGACAAUGUGUCAGAAAAGAAUUGAAUAGCAGGAAGCCAGAAGAAGGUAUGGGAUGGCCUGAAGCUGGAGUUGCAGGCAGUUAUGAACCACCAGACCUAGGUGAUGGAAUGGAUCUCAGGUUCCCUAGAAGAGCUACACACAGUCUGAGGUGCUAAGGCAUCUCUCCAACCCGUGUUUAUUUUUUAUCUUGUGAAAUGUAUCAACUUUUGUUUAUCCCUUCCUGUUAUCCUGGUGUCUUUAUUCUUACGGUUAUUUAGUAGGCUCUUAACAAUGUUGGGAUGUAAUUUUAUUUGGCUUCAGGGAAGUGAAUCUAGUUUAUAUUGAACCAAUGACUGUAAGUCCCAGAAGAGCUUGAGCUAUAGGUUGACUUUGUUUCUGUGAAACUACUGCUGGAAUUACUCUUAUUAUAAAGAAAAGAACUGACUCAA